AAACUCUGGUAUCUCUUUAGAAUGAAUACAUUUUUUGCCUUUUACUAAAGAUUUUUGUAAAGAGGACUAACUGGGCCUCCUUGGUAAAAAAAUAGCUUGAGUUCCUUUGAUUUGGAAA